UCACAGUAUGUAGAUAUUAACACAAAUUCAUCAAGAGUAAUAAUUUUAUUUUAAUUAAAUAAUUUCUCUCCUCAGAAAUACAUCACAAAAUAAAGCCACAUUCCCAUGCUCUGAGAUUCUUACACCUCCUCAACAAUACAUGAUUGACAAGGAAUUCCUGCGCAUAUUGACAGUACCGCUCCUAUCUACAUUCUUUUCUGAGCUAGAUGAUGGAGAUCUUUAGAGGCAAAGGUGGAGGGCUGGAAGAAAAAUGACACACAUCAUGGGGACCAUCUCCAAGGAUGACACAAUACAUACAAGACGAGCAUCCGUCCUGAAGUCCCUGUGUGACUACAAGACUGCGACAAACUUGUGAAGGAAUAUACGACUCAGACAAAUGUAUUAUUAUAUUUCACAUCAGAGAACACUGAGGCCAACACUGAAGCCAUGGAACAAACUGAUGGGAGUGUAUGUUCUACAGCAGGAGGGUGUGGAGCCUGGAGAUGACCCAGAGAACAUCGGUGUCCUGAUUGAAGGUGUGGAGAUUCUCACUGGUUUGAGGAGCAUUGCAAUUGCUUGUGCUCUGUUAUUUGGACUGAUAUACUGUCUGAACCUAAGCUACCCACCGGAGCUCAAAUGCACUUUUGAAGUCUUGCAAAAGAUUAUCAUGAAGCUGGAUGGGCAGAGGUUUCAGAUUCAGGGAAGCCAUAUAUUUUUCCAUAUUUCUGCAAUGCAAAUUUGUUUACCUUUUAAAGUUCAAAAUUGUAAGUUAUAAAAUGUUCAUAAGGACUAUGUGGUUUGCUCAGUGGACAUUAGACAAAGAUUGUUAGUUCAUAAGUUAAAGUCUCAUACACUUGCACUUUAAACACUGAUUUGUGCAAGAUGGGCAAUUGUUACAAAGGAAAAUGUACCCACAGGUUUUCACAAAUUGUUUGAGUGGAGCAGUUGUUCUUAAACUUAUUAAAUGUUUUCUCCACACGUUAAAUAGACUAAAGUUACCAUUAAUGGAUACAGCCUGAUUAAAUGGAGCACUAAUGAAUGUAUGCAAGAAACAUAGUAAUGCUGAAUGUUAAAUUGUGUUAAAAUUCAUGUUUUUGCUUGCAAUGCAUAUUUUACUACAUUUUACCAAAGUUGCUUUGGGGAUAUUAUUUUUUGUUGGCAAACUAUUCUACAGACUAUUUUUCUUUCAGUCAGUAUGUCUUGAUUGUUCUGAAAGUUCUGUGGUCUCCUACAUGCAUUGCUGUUAAAGAAUGAUUCUAAAUCUACCUGUUAUUUACUCAGCUAGUGAGCUCGGUGAUCUCUUAGCUUUGAGCCACUCCAAAUGUGGGCGCUAUUUUUAACUUCCUAUGAAGUUAGCUAAUAAGUUUAGUAUGAGACGGUUGAAGGGGAGAAAGCUGGGCUGAACUGAGAUCCUGCCAACUGUUUUAAGAAUGUUCAAGCAAAAUAAAAGAGAUGGUUUUGCAAGUUA